rnacentral:lncRNA from 1 species
GACUAUACUUUGUGAAAUUCGUUAAGGUUCGAAUCUCGUGACUACCGUUAAGGUUUGAUUUGGGUUUUACACAAAUACGUAUUCCAUUCUGUUAAACUAUAUGUUUAACUACCAAAAAUACUCCCAACUACACACUCACAAUCAAACAAACUAUUAAAUCAUCAGAAGAUCCAGAAUAAUAAAGUGCAUGCUUAAUUAUCGGAAGAAGUAGAAUCAAGAAGCUUGUUAACUCAAUCUUGCAUGCUUAUAAAGUAAUUACAGUAGAUUGGAGUAAGGAUU